UCCUUCUAAUUAUUUUUGCCUCUGGCACCAUGAUCCAAUAAGCCAAACAUGAGUAUCAAACAACAAACUGUUAAGAAUUUAUUACCACCUACCAUGCACAAGGUAUUUAAGGAAUAUUAGGAAAUAUAAAGCAAUUUCUUCAUAAAAGCCUGCAGAAUUCUUUAUAAGUUUUCACCUAUCAAAAAAUAAACACUUAUGGAGUUUAAAAAAUGGUGAACUCAAAGAGACAUGAAGAUUUCAGAUGCUUGCAGAGUUUCUAGGCUCUAAGUAAUUAGGUUUAUUUCCAUGUCUUCUCUCGGAAAGAUGGGUACCAAGUCCACAGGAAGAAGUAAGUUCUUGGAUAGAUCCAGUGCAAGGUCAGUUUGCCUUAGCAGAGCACCAGAGUUCAGCAAAAGAAUGAACAUGUUCUAAUGUCAAGAUCACUCACUUUGGGAGAAGCCAACCACCAUGCCAGUAGAUACUCGAGAUGCCCAACAAAAGUGACCACAUGGUGAGAAACUAAGGCCCCUUACCCAUAACCAGCACUAAUUCGCCAUGUAAGUCACCUUGGAAUUGGAUCCUCCAGCCUUGGUCUAGUCCUCAGAUGACUGCAACCACACACAGCUACCACGUUGACUGCAAUCUCAAAAAAAGACCCUGAGCCAGAAUCACCAUCUAAGCCCCUCCCAUAUUCCAGCCCCACAGAGUUAUGUGAGAUAAUAAAUGUUUAUUAUUUUGAACCACUAAGAU
rnacentral:lncRNA from 10 species